rnacentral:rRNA from 1 species
UACGUAGGGUGCAAGCGUUAAUCGGAAUUACUGGGCGUAAAGCGUGCGCAGGCGGUUGUGCAAGACAGAUGUGAAAUCCCCGGGCUCAACCUGGGAAUUGCAUUUGUGACUGCACGGCUAGAGUGUGUCAGAGGGGGGUAGAAUUCCACGUGUAGCAGUGAAAUGCGUAGAGAUGUGGAGGAAUACCGAUGGCGAAGGCAGCCCCCCUGGGAUAA